rnacentral:rRNA from 1 species
AUUGAACGCUGGCGGCAUGCCUUACACAUGCAAGUCGAACGGCAGCACGGACUUCGGUCUGGUGGCGAGUGGCGAACGGGUGAGUAAUGUAUCGGAACGUACCUUUCAGUGGGGGAUAACGUAGCGAAAGUUACGCUAAUACCGCAUAUUCUGUGAGCAGGAAAGCAGGGGAUCGCAAGACCUUGCGCUGAUUGAGCGGCCGAUAUCAGAUUAGCUAGUUGGUGAGGUAAAGGCUCACCAAGGCGACGAUCUGUAGCGGGUCUGAGAGGAUGAUCCGCCACACGGGAACUGAGACACGGUCCAGACUCCUACGGGAGGCAGCAGUGGGGAAUUUUGGACAAUGGGGGCAACCCUGAUCCAGCCAUGCCGCGUGAGUGAAGAAGGCCUUCGGGUUGUAAAGCUCUUUCGGCCGGGAAGAAAUCGCAUGGGUUAAUACCCUGUGUGGAUGGCGGUACCGGAAUAAGAAGCACCGGCUAACUACGUGCCAGCAGCCGCAGUAACAC